GUUAAGUUUUAUUCUUGCUUGUUCGUUCAAUUUUUGUUUGCUCUAUAUGUAAAUUUUUGUGUGUUUUGAUUUUAGUUCUAAAUGGGCUUUAAGAGUUUUUUAUUUUUUAUUCUCAUUAGUUGUUAUUGGUUGAUCAGGGUUUUCUGUAACUAGCAAUUCAUUUUAGUUUCGGUUAAAUUUUGUGCCAGCAACCGCGGUUAUACCUUGGAGGCGUUUGAAUGUGGUUGGCAUUAAUGUAGUUUUAUAUUUAAUUGUUGAUUUUGUUUUUGUUGUUUUUUUAGGUGAAAUUUUUAUUAUUUUUUUUAUCUGUUAGUUAUUUGGAGGCUAUGAAAUUCUUUUUAUAAACUAGGAUUAGAUACCCUAUUAUUUUUGAAUGUUAAUAUUUUUGUGCCUGAGUAGUAUUAGUUAUGUUCUUGAAACUUAAAGAAUUUGGCGGUAUCUUAUUCCAUCCAGAGGAAUCUGUCCCGUUAUCGAUAGUCCGCGUUGGACCUUACUUAAUUGCUUUGGUUUGUAUACCGCCGUUUAUUGAUUAUCUUUUUAGAGUUUUUUAAUUUUCUGGUUUCUUUAUUUUGAUUUAUUUCAGGUCAAGGUGCAGCUUGUUUUUAAGUGGAAUGAUGGAUUACAUUUUUAUUUGUUUUUGGAUUGUUAAUUUAGAUAUUGACAUGAAAUUGGAUUUGGUUGUAAUGUUUUGUAGAUUGUUUUCGUGAUAUUUGGUUCUGAGAUAUGUACACAUCGCCCGUCGCUCUCGUUUAUUUAUUAAUGAGAUAAGUCGUAACAAAGUGGUUGUACCGGAAGGUGCGGCUGGAUUGAU
rnacentral:ncRNA from 1 species